UGGGAAGGGGCCCAGUGGUAGAGCGCUUGCCUUGCAUGCCUGAGGCCCUGGGUUCGAUUCCCAGCACCACAU
rnacentral:tRNA from 1 species